rnacentral:rRNA from 1 species
UACAGAGGGGGCAAGCGUUAUUCGGAAUUAUUGGGCGUAAAGAGCGUGUAGGCGGCCAGGUAGGUCUGGUGUGAAAACUCGAGGCUUAACCUCGAGAUGUCAUCGGAAACCAUCUGGCUAGAGUCCGGAAGAGGAGAGUGGAAUUCCUGGUGUAGCGGUGAAAUGCGCAGAUAUCAGGAAGAACACCAAUGGCGAAAGCAGCUCUCUGGGACGGUACUGACGCUGAGACGCGAAAGCGUGGGGAGCGAACAGG